AGCAGCCGCGGUAAUUCCAGCUCCAAUAGCGUAUAUUAAAGUUGUUGCAGUUAAAAAGCUCGUAGUUGAAUUUCGGGAUUAGUACGCUGGUCAUGCCUUUGGUAUGUACUGGUGUUACUGGUUCCUACCUUCUGAAGAACCGUUAUGUCAUUUAUUUGGUGUGGCGGGGAAUCAGGACUGUUACUUUGAAAAAAUUAGAGUGUUUAAAGCAGGCUCGCGCUUGAAUACAUUAGCAUGGAAUAAUGAAAUAGGACGUUUGACCCUAUUUUGUUGGUUUCUAGGAUCGACGUAAUGAUUAAUAGGGAUAGUUGGGGGCAUUAGUAUUCAAUUGUCAGAGGUGAAAUUCUUGGAUUUAUUGAAGACUAACUACUGCGAAAGCAUUUGCCAAGGAUGUUUUCAUUAAUCAAGAACGAAAGUUAGGGGAUCGAAGACGAUCAGAUACCGUCGUAGUCUUAACCAUAAACUAUGCCGACUAGGGAUCGGAUGAUGUUAUUUUUAAUGACUCAUUCGGCGCCUUACG
rnacentral:rRNA from 1 species